rnacentral:rRNA from 1 species
AAACAUGCAAGUCGAACGAUGAAGCCCUUCGGGGUGGAUUAGUGGCGAACGGGUGAGUAACACGUGGGCAAUCUGCCCUUCACUCUGGGACAAGCCCUGGAAACGGGGUCUAAUACCGGAUAAUACCUGCCUGGGCAUCUGGGUGGGUUAAAAGCUCCGGCGGUGAAGGAUGAGCCCGCGGCCUAUCAGCUUGUUGGUGAGGUAGUGGCUCACCAAGGCGACGACGGGUAGCCGGCCUGAGAGGGCGACCGGCCACACUGGGACUGAGACACGGCCCAGACUCCUACGGGAGGCAGCAGUGGGGAAUAUUGCACAAUGGGCGAAAGCCUGAUGCAGCGACGCCGCGUGAGGGAUGACGGCCUUCGGGUUGUAAACCUCUUUCAGCAGGGAAGAAGCGAAAGUGACGGUACCUGCAGAAGAAGCGCCGGCUAACUACGUGCCAGCAGCCGCGGUAAUACGUAGGGCGCAAGCGUUGUCCGGAAUUAUUGGGCGUAAAGAGCUCGUAGGCGGCUUGUCACGUCGGUUGUGAAAGCCCGGGGCUUAACCCCGGGUCUGCAGUCGAUACGGGCAGGCUAGAGUGUGGUAGGGGAGAUCGGAAUUCCUGGUGUAGCGGUGAAAUGCGCAGAUAUCAGGAGGAACACCGGUGGCGAAGGCGGAUCUCUGGGCCAUUACUGACGCUGAGGAGCGAAAGCGUGGGGAGCGAACAGGAUUAGAUACCCUGGUAGUCCACGCCGUAAACGGUGGGAACUAGGUGUUGGCGACAUUCCACGUCGUCGGUGCCGCAGCUAACGCAUUAAGUUCCCCGCCUGGGGAGUACGGCCGCAAGGCUAAAACUCAAAGGAAUUGACGGGGGCCCGCACAAGCAGCGGAGCAUGUGGCUUAAUUCGACGCAACGCGAAGAACCUUACCAAGGCUUGACAUCGCCCGGAAAGCAUCAGAGAUGGUGCCCCCCUUGUGGUCGGGUGACAGGUGGUGCAUGGCUGUCGUCAGCUCGUGUCGUGAGAUGUUGGGUUAAGUCCCGCAACGAGCGCAACCCUUGUUCUGUGUUGCCAGCAUGCCCUUCGGGGUGAUGGGGACUCACAGGAGACUGCCGGGGUCAACUCGGAGGAAGGUGGGGACGACGUCAAGUCAUCAUGCCCCUUAUGUCUUGGGCUGCACACGUGCUACAAUGGCAGGUACAAUGAGCUGCGAUGCCGCGAGGCGGAGCGAAUCUCAAAAAGCCUGUCUCAGUUCGGAUUGGGGUCUGCAACUCGACCCCAUGAAGUCGGAGUUGCUAGUAAUCGCAGAUCAGCAUUGCUGCGGUGAAUACGUUCCCGGGCCUUGUACACACCGCCCGUCACGUCACGAAAGUCGGUAACACCCGAAGCCGGUGGCCCAACCCCCUUGUGGGGAGGGAGCUGUCGAAGGUGGGACUGGCGAUUGGGACGAAGUCGUA